rnacentral:misc_RNA from 1 species
GAUGAAGAACGUAGCGAAAUGCGAUACGUAAUGUGAAUUGCAGAAUUCAGUGAAUCAUCGAGUCUUUGAACGCACAUUGCGCCCCCUGGUAUUCCGGGGGGCAUGCCUGUCCGAGCGUCAUUGCUGCCCUCAAGCACGGCUUGUGUGUUGGGCCUCCGUCCUCCUCCCGGGGGACGGGCCCGAAAGGCAGCGGCGGCACCGCGUCCGGUCCUCGAGCGUAUGGGGCUUCGUCACCCGCUCUUGUAGGCCCGGCCGGCGCUUGCCGACACAUCAAUCUUAUUUCCAGGUUGACCUCGGAUCAGGUAGGGAUACCCGCUGAACUUAAGCAUAUCAAUAAGCGGAGGA